rnacentral:rRNA from 1 species
AUUGAACGCUGGCGGCAUGCUUUACACAUGCAAGUCGAACGGCAGCGGGGAGGUGCUUGCUUCUCUUCCGGCGAGUGGCGAACGGGUGAGUCAUACAUCGGAACGUGUCGAGAAGAGGGGGAUAACCACCCGAAAGGGUGGCUAAUACCGCAUAAAUUCUGAGGAAGAAAGCUGGGGACCUAGGAAUAGGCCUAGCGCUUUUUGAGCGGCCGAUGUCGGAUUAGCUAGUUGGUGAGGUAAAGGCUCACCAAGGCGAAGAGCUGUAGCGGGUCUGUGAGGAUGAUACGCCACACUGGGACUGAGACACGGCCCAGACUCCUACGGGAGGCAGCAGUGGGGAAUUUUGGACAAUGGGGGCAACCCUGAUCCAGCCAUGCCGCGUGUAUGAAGAAGGCCUUAGGGUUGUAAAGUACUUUUGUUAGGGAAGAAAAGUCAGCUGUGAAUAAUGGCUGAUACUGACGGUACCUAAAGAAUAAGCACCGGCUAACUACGUG